UAGAGUUUGAUCCUGGCUCAGGACGAACGCUGGCGGCGUGCCUAAUACAUGCAAGUCGAGCGGGGUUAUGUAGAAGCUUGCUUCUAAUUAACCUAGCGGCGGACGGGUGAGUAACACGUAGGCAACCUGCCCACAAGACAGGGAUAACUACCGGAAACGGUAGCUAAUACCCGAUACAUCCUUUUCCUGCAUGGGAGAAGGAGGAAAGGCGGAGCAAUCUGUCACUUGUGGAUGGGCCUGCGGCGCAUUAGCUAGUUGGUGGGGUAAAGGCCUACCAAGGCGACGAUGCGUAGCCGACCUGAGAGGGUGAUCGGCCACACUGGGACUGAGACACGGCCCAGACUCCCUACGGGAGGCAGCAGUAGGGAAUCCUUCCGCAAUGGGGCGAAAGCCUGACGGAGCAACGCCGCGUGAGUGAUGAAGGUUUUCGGAUCGUAAAGCUCUGUUGCCAGGGAAGAACGCUUGAGAGAGUAACUGCUCUUGGGGUGACGGUACCUGAGAAGAAAGCCCCGGCUAA
rnacentral:rRNA from 1 species